rnacentral:tRNA from 1 species
GCAGAAGUGGCGGAACUGGCAGACGCGCUGGACUCAAAAUCCAGUCCGGCUUACCCCGGGUGUGGGUUCAACUCCCACCUUCUGCACCA